UACGGAGGAUGCGAGCGUUAUCCGGAUUCAUUGGGUUUAAAGGGUGCGCAGGCGGACUGUCAAGUCAGCGGUAAAAUAGCGGGGCUCAACCCCGUCGAGCCGUUGAAACUGGCGGUCUGGAGUGGGCGAGAGGCAGGCGGAACGCGCGGUGUAGCGGUGAAAUGCAUAGAUAUCGCGCAGAACCCCGAUUGCGAAGGCAGCUUGCCAGCGCCCUACUGACGCUCAGGCACGAAAGCGCGGGUAUCGAACAGG
rnacentral:rRNA from 1 species